rfam:Rhodoferax ferrireducens T118, complete genome.
CGAUUCCCCACUGGAGAGAGGUCACCGCCGGCGCUUGGGUGCUGCGGCUGAUCCACCGAAGGAGCAACCCGCAGUCUGUCAGCCAGCAUGGCAUGCACAGGCGCGGCGAAUCUCUCAGGUAAAGCGGACAGCGGGGGCAGC